UUUUGAACCAUAGGGCCAAAAAAUAUGAAAAAAUUUGUGGAAGUAGAGCUUAAGAAAGACAUUAAAUGAAAACUAUAGCGGACAUGAUCAGUUUAGUUGUUUUUGAGCUAUCGCAAAAAGAUUAUGCAAAUUUGCCUAUUUGUUUAACUCGGGUGAAAGCUACCGUUUCAUCCCUUGGUUAACAAUUUACUAUACUUUAAGCUCCAGUUUAGCUUAUUGUGACGGAAGAGUAACUACGGAACCCUACACUGAGCGUGGCCCGACAUGCUCUUGGCCGAUUAUUUAUUAUAUUUCGACUUGACUAGACUUGAACGUUUUGAUAUAUUGUCUUUCUAAUAAUCGGACAAAUUUAUGUUAGUAGACAUUUUUAUACAUCGCCAUGUUUCCUUAUAGUCCAUACACGCAUAAAUCCAAUUUUUAAUUAAUAAUGACGAUGGCUCAUGUUGAUUCAUGAGAAGAAAAAGCAUUAGAAGUCAUAUCAUUAGAUAUCUCGCUAUUAGAGGGCACAAGAUGCACCGUGAGCCAUGUCAAGGUGACAUUAUAACAUCACCAUAACAAAUUAGUUAAUCAGAAUCGGUCUCCAAGUAAUUUGAAGAGUAAUCUGUACCCCUAGUGUAACUUUGAUCGACAUCAUAACGUGACGAACGCGUUUGCGUUAAGUCUCAUUUUGUAUAGGAUUUUGAGUUUCCAAAACGUCCCGCUUGGCGCGCUGUUCAAAAACCCAUACAAAAUGAGACUAAACGCAAACGCGUACGUUUUGAAACGUGACGUACGCGUUUGCGUUUAGUACUGUUCUAGGGGGUACUGUUCUUGUGCCAUCGCUUAAAUUGCGUUUCAAAUGUAUUUAGAGGCAGGGGUUGUAUGUUCCCCGGAUGGUAAUUGAAUAUCCUUAUAAUAUUUAUAUAUUUUUUUUUUCUUAAUUUAUUGAGAAACAAACAGUCUUAAAAUAAACAUAUUAUGAGCAACUUAGCUAAUA